GCAGGGAUAUGAUAAGCUUGGCAAGGUCAGGGCUCUCAUUGAUGCUCUCAAGGAGUCCUUCCAGGCUGAGUAUUCUUUGCCCCGGGAUAUUGCUGUGGGUGAGGCGAUGAUUUCUUUCAAAGGUCUCAUCUCAUUCCAUCAGUAUAUCAAGUCUAAACUGCAGAAAUACAGAAUCAAAGUAUUUGUGUUGUCUGUGUCAAACAAUGGUUAUAUUUACGACUUCAAUGUUUAUGUUGGCAAGAAUACCAACAUUGAGGACUUGACUGUGGUUGAUGAUGAUGAUGUUGCUGGUUUGGCCCCUGAUUAUGCAGAUCACGAUGGUAAUGACAGCAAUGAAGACGAUGAUGGUAAUGCCGCUUCUGCUGUUGGUGGCAGACAAAAGAAGUUUGGCCUAUGUUCACAGGCAGUGAGCAAUCUUGUGAAGAAUUUGAUCGGUCUCGGGCAUGUCGUGUACACUGACAACUUCUACACGAACUCCGAGCUGUAUUAGUGGCUUCUCAAUCAUUGUAUUUAUGUGUGGGACGUGUAAGCCAAGUCGGAAUGGAUUCCCAAGACAACUGAGUUUCAACUUUCACCCACCCAAAGCUAGGGUCGAGAGGGGAUACUACCGGUGGCUUACAAAACCUGAUUGUGGCAUGUGUGUGGUUUGACAAGAGAUACGUUCACAUGCUCUCAACAGUUCAUGUUGCUGAGCUAGGUGACAGAUCAUUGCUGACGUGUGUCAGGAAGGAUGGCAGGAAAAAGUCAAAGUUUCUUGUCCGCCCAUGCUGCCAGACUAUAUACAGAACAUGAGAGGAGUUGACCGUGACGACCAGAUGAUUUCAUUGUACCAUGCUGGUCACAAGAGUAUCAAAGGAUGGAAGGCUAUACUGUGGUAUCUACUAGAGUGUGCCAUGCUAAACGCCUACAUCGUGGAAGGACAUUUCGAUGAGAGACAUCGGGGGACUGGUUGCAGGAGGGACUAGUUUGGCAGGAUCCGGCACAUGCUUUAGUAGAUGGGUUCAGUAGCCGAAAGGAAGUUCCAGAGAGGAACCUCCAAGUCGACCGUCUCAAUCUUUUUCUGUCUCACUUGCCUUGGUUUGUUCCUCCCCAAAAAGGGAGCGUGUUCUCUGCACAAGCAAGGAGGUGAGACAUCAUUCUCAUGUACAGUGUAGAUCUUGUGAGCACCAUUUGUGUGUGACAUGAGAUCGUAAUUGUUUCGAGAAGUUCCAUUCGUCAAGGAACCUGUAAGGUGUGGUGUGGUGUCAUCUGGUGUGAUCAUAAUCCUUAAAAAUUUCUGGGGCAGUUUCGACUUCCACGUGAUCUCUUAUAAUUAUUAUAUUGAUCAUAGUACAUUUGUCAUGUAAUAGUUUUAGUGAUAUUUUCCCUGUGCAUUAGUUAUUGUAUAUAAUAAAAGAUUGAAGUCAUUGCUAUGAAAACUAG